CUACGGGAUGCUCCAGUGGGGAAUUUUGCACAAUGGGGGAAACCCUGAUGCAGCGACGCCGCGUGCGGGAAGAAGGCCUUAGGGUUGUAAACCGCUUUCAAUUGUGAAGAAGGGAUGAGAGUUAAUAGCUUUCUGACUUGACGGUAGCAUUAGAAGAAGCACCGGCUAAUUUCGUGCCAGCAGCCGCGGUAAUACGAAAGGUGCAAGCGUUGUUCGGAUUUACUGGGCGUAAAGAGAUCGUAGGUGGUUUAUUAAGUCGGAUGUGAAAUCCCGGAGCUCAACUUCGGAACUGCAUUCGAUACUGGUAGGCUAGAGUUCGGGAGGGGAAAGCGGAAUUCCGUGUGUAGCAGUGAAAUGCGUAGAUAUACGGAGGAACACCUGAGGCGAAGGCGGCUUUCUGGACCGAUACUGACACUGAGGAUCGAAAGCGUGGGUAGCAAACAGGAUUAGAUACCCGGGUAGUC
rnacentral:rRNA from 1 species